rnacentral:lncRNA from 10 species
AAAAAACUGAAAAUAGAAAAUGACGUCCUUCAUUAGGCAUGGCCGAGCUAGAUGAACAGAUUCUAACGAUAUCUUAGAUCUCUGUUGCACCCCUGUUUUGAAGACACUGAGGAAUGGAGAUGAACAUUCAGAAGCAGACUUUGUGCCAUCUUUGCUGGAGCUCUCACAAGACAUUUCCGUGAAGCAAUUAUAGAGCAAGUAGAGCCUCAACUCAAUGAUAGGCCCAACACUAAAUGACGAGGUAACGAUUUCUUCAGGAACUGAGGAGAGACAGGCCUGGAAAAGUUGCAAUGAUUUUCUUCCCAACUAUUAAGAAGAGAAAUAAUGUGAAAGAGGAAUCUUUUCUGAGACAUGUUCACAAGCAGGUCGGACCUUUCAUUCAGAACAAGAUUAUUUUAAUUUUUAAUGGUUUAAGAUAUAAUUGAUUCAUUCCUUAAAUUAGUUCAUCUUGCUCAAGCCAUUAUAAUAUUAAUUCACUGUUAUUUUUGGUAAUACAGAUCAUUUAUUUAGAAGCCAGGAAUAUACAAGGGAAGGGCAUAUUCAGAAGUAACUAACACCACUACAAGUUUAGGACCUUUCCAUUUUAUUGAAUUGGGUUUUAUUUAAAUUUGUAUCUCUUUUUUUGUCAUUCUUGUGUCUAAUAUGUUUUCAUUCCUUAAAUCUGCUCUGUAUGUGUUCUUUUCACAAUAUUUAAACAUACAAAUUUUAUCUUAAAUUUUACACCAAACAGAAAUUAUCUCAAUGUAUUAUAGAGGAAAUUUAAAACAUAGGUUGCAAAGGAUUAAUUUUAUGUACAAAUACCAUUCCUAUUCAGUUAUCUUUAUACAAGAAAAACAGUUCUUCAUUUGUAAAUGCCUUAUGAGAGUUGACUAUAAACAUAUCAGAGCUGAAGGAGGGGGUUUAGCACAAUAAUUUAUGAUUAAAUGCCAUCUUUUAAUCCAGCUGUGGGGAGUUGCCUGUAAAACUGCCCUUUUCACUCUAAAAUUCUCUCUAAUCAUUUGUAUACUCACUGAUUUACAUAGCUGGAAGAUUUGCCUCCUGAAAUAGGAGCCUUUUUUUUUUUUUUUUUUUUUUUUGGAGACGGAGUCAGGCUGGAGUGCAAUGGCGUGAUCUCAGCUCACUGCAACCUCCACUUUCUAGAUUCAAGUGAUUCUCCUGCCUCAGCCUCCCUAGUAGCUGGGAAGACAGGCACACACCACCACACCCAGCUAAUUUUUUUGUAUUUUUAGUAGAGACAGGGUUUCACCAUGUUGGCCAGGAUGGCCUCGAUCUCUUGAUUUCGCGAUCUGCCCGCCUCGGCCUUGGACUUCUUAAAUUGCAAUCAUUUUAAAGGGAUGUUUGACACAUCAUGUAGCGGCAAUCCUUUUAGCUAGAGGUAACUGCUGAUAUAAAACUAUCAAAACUCAUAUGCACCUCUGUUCUGUUAAGUGUUGACAUACUGGACACUGUGUAUCUAUAGUAUAGCCUCAUUUUCCAAAUCUAAUCUAGCCUAAACAGUUUGGUGGGGCAAGAAAAGCAAGUUGUAAAAUAAUCUCUUUGUCAUAACCCUCAAGUCAUAUCUUCUGGACUUGAAAGGUAUGCUGGAUGUCCUAUGUGUUGGUGCCUCAUGCUGCUCAGCAGGAAAUCUGAACUGUUCUCACCUCUCUGGUCCUUCUGUCUCACCAGGAGAUACACCCAAGAACAUUCUCCACAUUGUCUUAAUUCCC